UACGGAGGGUGCAAACGUUGCUCGGAAUCAUUGGGCGUAAAGCGCACGUAGGCGGUCUGUUAAGUCGGGUGUGAAAGCCCGGGGCUCAACCCCGGAAGUGCACUCGAAACUGACAGGCUGGAGUACGGAAGAGGGUCUCGGAAUUCCCGGUGUAGAGGUGAAAUUCGUAGAUAUCGGGAGGAACACUAGUGGCGAAGGCGGAGACCUGGGCCGAUACUGACGCUGAGGUGCGAAAGCGUGGGGAGCAAACAGG
rnacentral:rRNA from 1 species